rnacentral:pre_miRNA from 1 species
UUUGCCACUGUAAACAUCCUUGACUGGAAGCUGUGAGGCGUUCCCAGGAGCUUUCAGUCGGAUGUUUACAGCGGCAGGCU